AUACUUACCUGGCAGGAGAGAUACCAUCAUCACGAAGGUGGUUUUCCCAGGGCGAGGCUUAUCCAUUGCACUCCGAUGUGCUGACCCCUGCGAUUUCCCCGAAUGUGGGAAACUCGACUGCAUAAUUUGUGGUAGUGGGGGACUGCGUUCACGCUUUCCCCUG
rnacentral:snRNA from 1 species